CUUGGGAUUUAGAAGAACAUGGUGUUUCAUUCUGAGGUUUGUGAUUCAUUAAGAACACAUUCUUCAAUGACAUUUCCACAGAUCAUCAUUCUCCAAGCAGAAACUAUCUUCCUAGGUCUCUGGGCCCACUCUCUUCCAGAUUAAAGGCUUCUGGGAAAAGAACUAAACAUUUCAAUCCUAACAGGAAGUAAAGCUCUCCAGUUAAAAAUUUGUAGCAGAUAUUCAAAUUGGGAAAUGAUGACUAUGGUGUGAAAUAAAUCUUCUUUAUUGGACAGAAUAUACAAAUGAAAGAUUAUAUUGUUAGCUAUAUAUCACAGGUGAAUUAUUCUACCAGAAGAAAAGAUAACUUGCUUUGCUUUGUUGUAUGUAAAAUAACAACAACAACAAAAAAGUAACAAAUAGCACACAGGGUGACCAUUUCUUUUUGGUUUGACAGAAAUAGUUUAUAUUUGCAAACAUUCCCCAUUCACUUGUUUAAAAUAAUUGGAAAAAAGUACACAAUUUUCACAGAAUUGGGGAAGGAAAGGGGGUCAGUUUGCAGCUCUAGUGCUCCCAUAUUGGGUGGGUAAUUUGGUAUCAGGAGGUAGCCAUGGCGACCAUAAAACUUACUCAUGUGACUAACGAUGCAACUAAUGAUGCCCACAAUUACUUAAUUGCAGGCAUGCUUAACAGCUUUUGCCAUUUUUGGAGGGUGCUUUAUGGCUAAUUGUGGCUGCAAGUGGUCCGUAGGUUCUCCUGGAUCUCACAAAGCACCACCAGGACAGAUAUCUCAAGCACAUUUAAAGAGCUGGUGUUUCCUAAGUAAGACAGCAGCAGCAAGACUGCAAUCAUUUCUGGGGAGACAGUAUCAUCAUAAUGCAAUAUUAGCUACUGUGAUCUUCUAUCAUUUCCUUCCUGGAGAGUUAUGAGUGUGGCAUUGAGGAUUUAAGACCUACAGCCUGAACACUACUUACUACAAAUCUCUCACAAAGCUGCUGCAAUAAAUCUCGUAGAGGAAAGUCAUUGCAUAAAAAAAAAAAAAACCCAACUCCAGGGAGUUGGCCAUUUAUUUUCCUAGAAAAGGGGCUGUGAUGAGAGAUACUCCAUGCUCCUUUAACUCCAUGGAACAGACACAACAAAGCAUUCAUCAUGGAAAGUUGACUGAUGGGCCCAAUGAAACCAGCUGGGGAAGGAAGGUAGAAAGAGAAAGCCUCUAUCCAAGCCAGGCCUGCUCCCUUCCCUAGCUUCUGCCCGAGGGCAUUUCCUCUUAGCCUGGGGACUAACUCUGCAUAGAAUUAGCACAAGUGAGGGUGUACUUCCUGAAGACAAACUAUCAUUAGAGAUGCCAAACCAGGGGUCUAAAACUGGGCCCUAGCCAUGCCACCGAUUUAUUUAGUCUGCAAGAGUUUGAACGUGUUUUUAGUAAGUUCCCAACAUCAAAAAUUAAAAAUUUCACAUAAAAAGUUAAAAUCCAGAUUUUUGGCUUCUCUAAACAAAUUAGGAUAUCUGACAAUGGCAGAUCAUAUUCCUACACUCCUGCCCCCUUUUGACAGUGUGCUCCUUCCAAUUUGCUACUCUACCUCUCCUUUUACCUGAGCUGCGCUGCAGGGAAUGGAGUUUGCAAUCCCCUUACUAAUCCCUCACCGGGGGCUCCAUUCUCUCAUCCCUCCUCCUGCACCUCUGGCCUUGCUUCAGAAGUGUCCUCAUUUAAUGGAAAAUACAACUGAUUGAUCUCACCUGAACCAUGACUCCAUAUACAUUCAGAAGAUAUUUCUCUCAUGGCAAGGAACCCCAGUGUGAAGCAAAGAGCAGGUGCUUUGCCUAGAGGCAGACCUCAGCUUAAAUCCCAUCUCACCCUUGCUCUGGGAUCUUGUCCAGGUAACGCAACCUCUCGAAACCUAGUUUGCUCACAGCAAAAUGAGUAUAACAGGAUCUCCCACCCAGGACUUUUGUGAGAACUAUUAAUAAAUGUGGUAAUGGAUAUUAAGUGCCUGACCAUGGGCGUGCCAUCUUCUCUCAGCUUCCAUGAUGUCAUGCUGUGGGUUCAUGCUCUUUCAUGGCUUCUUCGAGUCAUCUUUUCUGUCUCCUUUGAAGGCAUGGAAGGGGCUCAGGAAAUUUUACCCCAACAUCAUGACUCUGGUAUAAAAAAUAUUUUAAAUUAAAGGCCAUUUGAAGGCAUAUAUAAAAAUAUCCGAACUUUAUCAGGGUAUUGGGUAACCACGCUUGUGAUUCUCCCGGUGAACAUGGUAAAUAAACCUUUCUCUUACUAAUCUGUGUUAGUUGUGAGUUGAUCUUUCAGCAAAUUUUCCAGGGAAAGGGCAAGUUUCCCCUCAGCCCUACAGUUUGGCAUAGCUGACAGGAUCUCAAAGCCGCCCUGCUCUGGUGAAAGCUGCAGUGAGGAAAAUUGGAACUUGCACUAGCCGGCAACAUGUGGGUUCUGAGAGAGAGCUCCCAGAGACCCCCAGGAGCACCAAGAGUUCAAGUGAGGCACCAACUAGACCUGUUCUCUGCUCUCUCGUUGCAACUUGAGACUUGUGGGUCAGUUCGCACUCAGAUUCCAAAGUGCCACAGAUUUGUGUUUUGAGCUUUCUGAAUUUAAGUAAAUUUUUAAUCCUAACUGGGUUCAAAAGUUAUGACAAAAACUAAACUAGGUCUGGGAUCAGAUUUGAUCUGAUAAUUAAUUAGCUUAGAUCCAUUUAGAGGCCUCAAAUGUCUGACUGGGUCAGCCAUGAACUAACAGUAAAAUGAAAAUAAUAUAGGGUCUGCAAACUCCACCUUUCAGGAAUUCAGAAAUUUCUGUGUUCUAGCCCAUUGUUCCUUUUUUUGUGCUCUUGGGUUAAAAAAGAAAAAAAAAAAUACUGCCCAAGUUGAUCAUAGAGCUCUGAAAACCAAAGCCAAGACUAAAGCUAAUAAUAGGAUCCUUAAUUUCUAAAAAACUGAAUACUCUACUUUCUGACAAUUCGUACCUAUACUUGUGUAAGUAUUAGGCCCUACAAGCAACAAACACAGAAAUGACAAAAUCUUACUAAAGACAAAAUUGUUGCCUAGCUAGUAAUUGCUUAAAACAAUAACAUAAAUAAUUAAAAGAUUGAUAGUCUAAGAGGAAAAAAAAUAUUUAAGAGCCAGCAAAUAAAAAUUCUUUAUAAGAGCUGUCAAAACUGCUUCUGUCUGUAUGUCUAUAUAUCUGUGUCUGUAUAUGUCAUUUACAUGUACUAUUUUACCACCACAAUGUAUAAAAGAACUCUAAUUAAUUAGCUUUAAAAAAUAAACAAGCGCUUACAUAAAAUACUGUAUCAAAAAGAUAAAAACUAAUUCAAAUGGUUCAUGUGACUUAAAAAGACAACUGACCUCUACUCAACUUUCUUUUUCAUUCUGUUACACCCUAAUUCACAAUUUCUCUUUAUAUUCACCUUCAGAGAGAGAUAGUUAACGUGGCCCUAAAUAUCUCAGAGACACUGUAAGUCUCUUUCAAUAUUCUCUCAAAUUCUCUAAACAGAUUUUUAGACUCUAUAACCUUUACCCAGAGAUCUACUCUUGUUCGGUACUUGUUUAGUAUGUUAAUGAUCUUUCACUCUGUAAACAGGGUACUCACUGUACUCUCUCAUUCAUUUAAGGACUCUAGUUAAAUGAGGCCAUAAAGUCUCUAGGUCUAGACUCCAGGGACACAGACAACAGUCACUUACUUAGGACAUAAAACAUCUCAGGGCACUCAAAUACUCAUCCCAAAAUACCAUAAGUCAAUUUUGUCAUAGCCCCCGCUACAGCUUAUACAUUGACAUAAGGAAAAGCUGCGACUAUUUACACAGACUUCAAAUAUGCCUUUGGAGUCUGCCAUAUGGUUAGCACAAUUUGAAAAUCUCCUUUCUUAAUUUCUACUGACACUCCUAUUGCCAAUAGACCUAUAAUAUCAGAUAAAUUAUAUAUUGGGCCAAACAGACUCCCUGUGGCCUCUUUUCUUUUUAACUUUUUGACUUACACUCAUCUCCCAUCAAAUGGGAUAUCUGUACAAACAGGGGAUAAUUUAAAAAAUAUAUAUAUUAUAUAUAUAUGUUAAAUAUAUGUAAUUGGUAGUGCCCUGAGAUCUAUACAAUUAUUUCCUAGUACACUGUAAGUCUCACCAAAUCUCUGGAGAAAACUAGUCCCCAAAGGCCCAGAACUAUCCCUUUUUGACACUCCAAAUUGACUAUAUAGAUUUCCCUCUAGCUUUAGACUUUUCUCACUGCUUGGUUAUUGUUCACAUGUUCAAUAGAUGGACUGAACCCUACCUGACCAGACGUGCUGACGCUACAACAGUGGUAAAAAAAUUAGUGACUGAGAUUAUUCCUCAUUUUGACAUUCUUUUAUGGAUUGAAUCAGAUCAAGAGACUCAUUUUAAACCACUUACUUACGAAGACUCUGGGGACUUAUUAAAAGUUCAUACCCCAUAUCAUCCCCAACCCUCAGGACAAGUGAAAUAAAAAAAUCUAAGAAAACACCCAACUUUGUGAAAAGUCUGUCGAAACACUGGACUUAUAUGGCCAGAAGUAUUACCUUUGGCCCUUACAAAAAAUCUGGAAUGCUCCAAUUAGGAGACAUGGUUUAACCCCUUUCAAAAUAGUAUCUGUCACCCCAUGCCUACUGACACCUAUAAACCUAUUCCUAGACUGACUGAACACUGUAGGGAUUUAAGUGAAUGAUCUGAUAGCAUGACUAGCUACGUACAGAUGCUAACUAAUAUGCAACAGGUGAAAAGAGCAUCGCCCCUGCCAACUGCCAGGCCCUGUCAUCCUGUUUGACCAAGAAAUCAUGUAUAAAUCAAAGUGGGUUUUUUGUUUGUUUGUUUUGAGACAGAGUCUCACUCUGUUGCCCAGGCUAGAGUGCCGUGGCAUCAG